UAAAUCAAGAUCCCUAAGGGAGAAGCUCAAAUACUAUAACUUUAAAAGAGAUGGUCUGAAAAACAAUUCAAUGUCUUUCAGAAGUGAAAAAGAUGAAUCAAAGUACUUUAAAAAGGGGCAGAAGUUUUUAAAAAGGAAAAUACGUAAUUAUUAAUGUUCACAUGCCAGUUGAGCUAAAAUAUUUAUAAUUUAGGAAGUUAUUGGUGGUAUAAACUGAAAUCUGAAAUUAAGGAGUAGCUUUUAAGGUCUGUUAAAGUUUUUAGUGUGUUGCAAGAAAGAUAGUGGCCACAGCUGUGGGUGUCUUGCUGGGGCUGGAGUGUGGGCUGGGUCUGCUGGGCAACGCGGUGGCGCUGUGGACCUUCCUGUUCCGGGUCAGGGUGUGGAAGCCGUACGCUGUCUACCUGCUCAACCUGGCCCUGGCUGACCUGCUGUUGGCUGCGUGCCUGCCUUUCCUGGCCGCCUUCUACCUGAGCCUCCAGGCUUGGCAUCUGGGCCGUGUGGGCUGCUGGGCCCUGCACUUCCUGCUGGACCUCAGCCGCAGCGUGGGGAUGGCCUUCCUGGCCGCCGUGGCUUUGGACC
rnacentral:lncRNA from 1 species